rnacentral:rRNA from 1 species
AACGUAGGGGGCGAGCGUUAUCCGGAAUCACUGGGCGUAAAGGGCGUCUAGGCGGUCCAGUAAGUCCUGCGUGAAAGCUCCCGGCUCAACUGGGAGAGCGCGUGGGAGACUGUUGGGCUAGAGACUCGGAGAGGGGUGUGGAAUUCCCGGUGGAGUGGUGAAAUGCGUAGAUAUCGGGAGGAACACCAGUGGCGAAGGCGACUACCUGGCCUGUUCUUGACGCUGAGGCGCGAAAGCUAGGGGAGCAAACGGG